UACGAAGGGGGCUAGCGUUGCUCGGAAUCACUGGGCGUAAAGCGCACGUAGGCGGAUUUGUAAGUCAGGGGUGAAAUCCCGGGCUCAACCUCGGAACUGCCUUUGAUACUGCGAAUCUCGAGUCCGAUAGAGGUGGGUGGAAUUCCUAGUGUAGAGGUGAAAUUCGUAGAUAUUAGGAAGAACACCGGUGGCGAAGGCGGCCCACUGGAUCGGUACUGACGCUGAGGUGCGAAAGCGUGGGGAGCAAACAGG
rnacentral:rRNA from 1 species